rnacentral:rRNA from 1 species
CUACGGGUUGCUCCAGUGAGGAAUAUUGCACAAUGGGGGGAACCCUGAUGCAGCAACGCCGCGUGGAGGAUGACGCAUUUCGGUGUGUAAACUCCUUUUAUAUGUCAAGAAAAUGACGGUAGCAUAUGAAUAAGCACCGGCUAACUCCGUGCCAGCAGCCGCGGUAAUACGGAGGGUGCAAGCGUUACUCGGAAUCACUGGGCGUAAAGGACGCGUAGGCGGGUUGGAAAGUCAGGUGUGAAAUCCUACAGCUUAACUGGAGAACUGCACUUGAAACUUCUAGUCUAGAGUAUGGGAGGGGGAGAUGGAAUUAGUGGUGUAGGGGUAAAAUCCGUAGAUAUCACUAGGAAUACCUAAAGCGAAGGCGAUCUCCUGGAACAUUACUGACGCUAAGGCGUGAAAGCGUGGGGAGCAAACAGGAUUAGAUACCCCAGUAGUC